AUUUGGGAUUUGAUAGUUAAAGGUAUGUUGAAUUUUCAGGUAUUUUGUUUCUUAAUUUUUGAUCUCCAUCUAGCGAACGAACUUGUUCGGUUUUUGGUCAUGUAAGCACUGUUUGGUUGGUGAGAAAAUGUGGGAAAGAUAAGGAAAGUGAAUGUUUUGAUAUAUGUUGAUGUGAAAUGCUUAAAACUCCACUUAACUAUCUCCUUUUGAGUUGUUCAGAGUUCAUAUAGACGAAUGUAAGAGGAAGAUGGGUCUCCGAUUUUUUUCUUUUUUCAUUCUUUUAUUAAAUUUCAUAUCUGUGGUAAUUCUCUCUGUUUUCUCUCAGUAAAUCAUAGGAUCAGAUUAGAUACUUACCUGGAUCUCUUGAGUUUGUAUUCGUUUCUUUAGGAACUUUGAAUCAGCUUGUGAUUUUUUUGUUUAGUUUUAGAUUUUGAGUUCUGACCUUUUUUCUUCAAAUCUGAGAGAGAGAGAGAGAG
rnacentral:misc_RNA from 1 species